AUUGAACGCUGGCGGCAGGCCUAACACAUGCAAGUCGAGCGGAUGAAGGGAGCUUGCUCCUGGAUUCAGCGGCGGACGGGUGAGUAAUGCCUAGGAAUCUGCCUGGUAGUGGGGGAUAACGUCCGGAAACGGGCGCUAAUACCGCAUACGUCCUGAGGUAGAAAGGGGUGGAUCUUCGGACCUCACGCUAUCAGAUGAGCCUAGGUCGGAUUAGCUAGUUGGUGGGGUAAAGGCCUACCAAGGCGACGAUCCGUAACUGGUCUGAGAGGAUGAUCAGUCACACUGGAACUGAGACACGGUCCAGACUCCUACGGGAGGCAGCAGUGGGGAAUAUUGGACAAUGGGCGAAAGCCUGAUCCAGCCAUGCCGCGUGUGUGAAGAAGGUUUUCGGAUUGUAAAGCACUUUAAGUUGGGAGGAAGGGCAGUAAGUUAAUACCUUGCUGUUUUGACGGUACCAACAGAAUAAGCACCGGCUAACUUCGUG
rnacentral:rRNA from 1 species